CGUGCCCUGAAACCUUCCUUCAUUUUGUUGAAACUUGAAUCAGUUACCCUAGGAUCGAAGAGUGAAGAUCCGGCUUUGUUUUUCCAUUAAUCGCCGGUUCCAUUUGAAUCCUAAAACUGAUUGUUUUUUUUUUUUUUUUUUGUUUAGGAUUGAUGUAAGAUCUCCAAAUUUUGUUUCUCUCUCUUUCCUUUCUGAUUCAAGAAGAUUAGAUGUGGGCUUGAAUCCAUGGGGUAUAUGAUUAACCCCUGUUUGUAUAAACCCUAAGUCUCAAAAUUGAUCAACAAAUCAUACUUCUUUGCUUCGAUAAUUUACGAUUUCGGAGUGUUGUGAUGAAAUCUUUCUUCUCUGAUUGAAUCAUCUACCAUGUCACUCGAGGGGUGUUUAGAUGUGCGAUUAAUUUGAAAUCGAAUAAUCAGUUUUGUGUCAGCAUAAAGUAAUUAUGAUUUUCUGAUUAUCUAUAGUUAAAAUAAUCAUAUUUCGUGAAAAGUGUAAGGAAACUUUUGCAAGAAAAUUGAUUUAAGAUGAUAAAGAGGAUAGGGAUGGCGAUACUUGGCUUUGUUUCCACACAAUACUCCAUUGUUCCCACUUUCCUUCAAUCUUUCUCUUUCUUUAUCUCAAAAUCAAAGGCAAUCAACGAGUUUAUUUCAGGGAAUGAAAAUAUUACCAAGAGGGUACAACAUCUCAUCGAAGGUGAAUGGCAAAUGAUCUGGAGUUCACAAGUAAUUGAGACGUUUGCGAGUUGACACAAAAUUCGUAAAAAAAAUUUCUCAGAUGGAAAAAGAUAGAUGGAUAAAGAAUGCACCCACUUAUGUACUCUCAGAUGAGAUUUGCUCAAAAGUUCUCGACUUAUAUAUUUAACAUGGUUUUGGACCCAUAAUAUUAUCAUCAGAUACCAUAUAAAAACAAACUGAAAUAUCUAAUGAUGUAACUUCUGAUGAUAUUGAGCCAUGGGUGCUGCCGGGAUUUUAUUCCUCUCCUAUAUGACGUAUGCACAUAAUGCUUUAGUUCUAAAUGAAUUUCUUGACAAAAGAUGGAGUGUUGUACGUUAACUUUUGAUGACAUUCAAUAGAAAGCAAUGAUUUUACUUAAAGAAAAACAUGUAGAACUCCACGAUUGACUGUUUGAUAAGAUUAUCAUUGCACCUCAAUCAACUAAAGUCUCCUUUAUGCAACCCAAUAUCGUUCGGCGAAUUAAUGCAUCAAUAGUUGGGAAAGCCCUUCUCCAAUCAAGAAGUUCUUUUUUACAGAGGAGCACGGGUUCUCAAUAUAUGGAAAACAUGGAACGCUUUGAUAUUUAAUCAUAAUCAACAAAAUCCAAAUAGUCUGGUGAAUGAAAUCAAAGCAACGGGGUAUCUUUGGUUAAAAAAUAGAUCAAAGUCAUUUGAGUUAUCUUGGUUGAUGAGUUGCAUUAUUUGGUUGCAGAUCUUUCACACUCCUGGGAAAAAUAUGAAUGUGAACAAGGCCAUAAUUACUAUAGAAUAUGCUGGUGUAGGAAUCAAAAUGGCGGCUGGAAAUUUUCAGAUGGGUGUUUCAAACAAGACUCCUGAGUUUCUUAAGAUGAACCCCAUUGGAAAGUUGCUCAUGGAAGUUCUCUGUUCGGGUCUUCCAAAAUAGAAUAUGCUGAGAGCUCUAUUGCUGGCUUGAAGAGAGGUUUCGAUGCUUUGAACAACUAUCUAGCAUCACACACUUUCUUGGUCGGUGAUGGUGUCACCUUGGUUGAAGAAGAAGAGGCACCGAAGUCUAAGCCGAAAAACCCUCUUGAUUUAUUACCUCCGAGUAAUAUGGUUUUGGAUGACCGGAAGAGGCUUUACUCUAACACUAUGUCUAACUUCUGUGAGGUUGCACACAAAGGUAUAUAUUUACAGAAAAAAGGGUGUUAAAAUGUAUGUAGUUUUUGGGUGGAAGCUUCAUUUGUGAUGCUUAUUAUACUGCCGCAUCCACAAGGUACUAAGCAUUACAUCUAUUGUACACUACUUAUAUAUAAUUGGUCAUGCUAUAAGCAUUACAUCUAUUCAGCAAAUGUUUAUGAUUUGUGUGA